AAACUGGUAAAAUGUAAUGUACCUGAUAGUAUUAGUGAUUAAUAUGAUAUUAACUAAGUUAAUUAAAAUUCGGAGUAGAUAUAUGAUUAUGACAAUAUUUGCUAAUUUCUUGACCAAGUCACGUGCCAGCAGUCGCGGCAAUACGUGGUAGAUCAGUGUUAUUCAUCUUUAAUAGGUAUAAAGGGUACCUAGACGGUUAAUUAAGCAUAUUUGUGUACUAAUUAUUAACUAGAGUUUAAUGUAAGAAGGAUUGAGUACGGUGAGUUUAGAGAUAGAAUUCAAUCAUACCACUUAGGAACUGGUAAAGGCGAAGGCAACCUUUUAUGUAAAAACUGACGUUGAGGGACGAAGGCUCGUAUUAAAGAAUAGGAUUAGAGACCCUAGUAUUGUGGGCAGACAAUGAUGAGUGUCAUAUGCAAGAAAAUUUUUGUGUAUAAAUGAAAGUGUAAGCACUCCACCUCAAGAGUAACAUGGCAACAUGGGAACUGAAAUCAUUAGACCGUUUCUGAAACUCGUAGUGAAGUAUGUUGUUUAAUUUGAUAAUCCACAAAUAACCUUACCACAACUUGAAUUACUAGUGAGUAAUUAUUAGUAACAAGCACUGCACGGCUGUCUUCAGUUAAUGUUGUGAAACUUUGGUUAGAUCCAUUAAAUUGACGUAAACCCUUGCUUUAUUUGUUAUAAAGCAGUUCGCCGCUAU
rnacentral:rRNA from 1 species